rnacentral:rRNA from 1 species
GCCUUCGGGAACCGUGAGACAGGUGCUGCAUGGCUGUCGUCAGCUCGUGUUGUGAAAUGUUGGGUUAAGUCCCGCAACGAGCGCAACCCUUAUCCUUUGUUGCCAGCGGUCCGGCCGGGAACUCAAAGGAGACUGCCAGUGAUAAACUGGAGGAAGGUGGGGAUGACGUCAAGUCAUCAUGGCCCUUACGACCAGGGCUACACACGUGCUACAAUGGCGCAUACAAAGAGAAGCGACCUCGCGAGAGCAAGCGGACCUCAUAAAGUGCGUCGUAGUCCGGAUUGGAGUCUGCAACUCGACUCCAUGAAGUCGGAAUCGCUAGUAAUCGUGGAUCAGAAUGCCACGGUGAAUACGUUCCCGGGCCUUGUACACACCGCCCGUCACACCAUGGGAGUGGGUUGCAAAAGAAGUAGGUAGCUUAACCUUCGGGAGGGCGCUUACCACUUUGUGAUUCAUGACUGGGGUGAAGUCGUAACAAGGUAACCGUAGGGGAACCUGCGGUUGGAUCACCU